rnacentral:rRNA from 1 species
GAGGAAUAUUGCGCAAUGGACGAAAGUCUGACGCAGCCAUGCCGCGUGCAGGAUGACUGCCCUAUGGGUUGUAAACUGCUUUUAUGUGCCAAGAAACCCCCGGACGUGUCCGGGGCUGACGGUAGCACACGAA